CGGGACGGGUGAGUAAUGUCUGGGAAACUAGCCUGAUGAGGGGGAGUAACUACUGGAAACGGUAGCUAAUACCGCAUAACGUCGCAAGACCAAAGUGGGGGACCUUCGGGCCUCUUGCCAUCGGAUGUGCCCAGAUGGGAUUAGCUAGUAGGUGGGGUAACGGCUCACCUAGGCGACGAUCCCUAGCUGGUCUGAGAGGAUGACCAGCCACACUGGAACUGAGACACGGUCCAG
rnacentral:rRNA from 1 species